GACGAACCGUGCGAACGUUAUUCGGAAUCACUGGGCUUAAAGCGCAUGUAGGCGGAGGGGUGUGUCGAACGUGAAAGGCUGCGGCUCAACCGCAGAGCGCCGUUCGAAACUGCCUUUCUUGAGGGCCGAAGAGGAGAGUGGAAUUCCCGGUGUAGCGGUGAAAUGCGUAGAGAUCGGGAGGAACACCCAUGGCGAAGGCAGCUCUCUGGUCGGUCUCUGACGCUGAGAUGCGAAAGCGUGGGGAGCGAACGGG
rnacentral:rRNA from 1 species